UACGUAGGUGACAAGCGUUGUCCGGAUUUACUGGGCGUAAAGAGCGCGCAGGCGGUCGUUCAAGUCGAGUGUGGAAGCCCCCGGCUCAACUGGGGAGGGUCACUCGAUACUGAUCGACUCGAAGGCAGGAGAGGGUAGUGGAAUUCCCGGUGUAGUGGUGAAAUGCGUAGAUAUCGGGAGGAACACCAGUGGCGAAGGCGACUACCUGGCCUGUUCUUGACGCUGAGGCGCGAAAGCUAGGGGAGCAAACGGG
rnacentral:rRNA from 1 species